GUGAGGAAUUUUCCGCAAUGGGCGAAAGCCUGACGGAGCAAUGCCGCGUGAAGGAUGAAGGCCUAUGGGUUGUAAACUUCUUUUCUCAGAAAAGAAUUAUGACGGUAUCUGAGGAAUAAGCAUCGGCUAACUCUGUGCCAGCAGCCGCGGUAAGACAGAGGAUGCAAGCGUUAUCCGGAAUGAUUGGGCGUAAAGCGUCUGUAGGUUGUUUAAAAAGUAUUCUGUCAAAGAUUAGGGCUUAACCCUAGAUAGGCAGAAUAAACUUUUAAGCUAGAGUUUGGUAGAGGCAGAGGGAAUUCCCGGUGGAGCGGUGAAAUUCGUAGAUAUCGGGAGGAACACCAAAGGCGAAGGCACUCUGCUGGGCCAAUACUAACACUGAGAGACGAAAGCGAGGGGAGCAAAUGGGAUUAGAUACCCUAGUAGUCC
rnacentral:rRNA from 1 species